GUAGGAUCUCGCUGUUUGCUCCGCUUCUGGUUUGAGUCUGUGCAGUACAUUUUGCUUUUGGACAAGUACAAUUUCAUGUUCGUACACGGAGUUAGAUGAUUUCCUGCAGCCAAUGAAUGGGGAGCUGAUGGUGUUCUGCUUCAUGCACUUCUGUGUUAUCUUUUUCAUUUCUGCAAUAUUGCUCUUCUUCACGAUUCAAGGUGAUUCCAUGAAGUUACAGGCUAUAUGUACUAUUUGGCCAUAUGUUCCUAGCCAUCCUUGUAAGAAGGAAUGCAGACAGUUACAGCUUUGUAGAUUGUCCAACAGACUAUGAAGUAUUUUCACAACCGGAUUGGAAUAUGUAUCAAUUCUGAAGAGAAAAACUCAAGGAAGAAGUGCACCAUUGCAUGUUCCGGAUACGGCCACGGACUCUUGUGUCCUCGUGCACGGUUGUAGGCACUCAUCGGACUCAGUGUGUGUCCUUUUGGUUUAGGUGCAGGAAGAAGUAGGUUGGCAACCACAGACAACAAGCUGCUGCAGAGAAUGCUCAAGAUGGUGGGCGUCAACACCAUACAGGAGGUCGGCCAACCCUAAAGCUGUGGCGCAAGUGUCCAUCUCCUCAAAAACAUGGGUGCUCAUUGAGACCCUGCAGAACAAUAGUAUAUUCCUGGAUCAUUUCAAUGAAAAAUGGAGAAUAACGGAAGGAAGUACAUUAGUUACCUAGAUGACAAUGCAACAUAACAAUUGCUUGUUGCUUUUUGGUUCGGCAAGAAUCUGGAUAGGAGCAAGGUGGGUGCUUGACCUGCUUGAAGCAAUCAACAACCAGUUUUUGGAAGAUGUCAACUAGCCGAGCUUUGUUUUCUUCAUUCUUGGCCUUUUUUCCAACUGCCGUUGUUGUGUCAACAAGUCAUAUAAAAUUGUAGGUUUCUAUGGCUACGUCGAAUGUUAAAAUAUCAAAAAUUUCAUGUGUCGUUAAUAUUUUCAACAUGGACACGCAAUGUACAAACUGAUGAUGUGUAUUCUAGCCAAUUUUUUAGCAGGCUAGUAAUAUGUAUCAUUUUUGUGAGCUGCUUGUUUUUUUUGCUGAAAAAGCACAGUAUAAAUCACGUGAA